GAAGGUCUAAACGUAAAAUAGUUUGAUAAUAAUUUUGUUACAAGCAAGCGUUGAACAACAUGCUAUUUUAAAUUUUGAGGCUUACCUUCACUUUAUCUUUACUCUAACUUGUUUUUCCAUGAUCAGGAGGUUACUUAUUUUUAGUAACUUCGCUGGUGUAACCAGUGUUAAAUUUAAAAGCAAAACUUAGUUACAUUAUUUGUGCUAAGAUUAAAGAAAUACAAGAAUAUUUUAUUGAUAUAAAUUUUUUUUGAAAGGUAUUCUAAUAUUUUAUUUUAUUGAUAAAUGUAUAAUUUAUUACAAUACAGGAACAAUGAAAGGUUAAAAUCAGUAUAAACGUGUAUAUUGGCAACAAAAUCAAACAAGUAAAACUUAUAUGGACUACUUUCAUCAAUUUAUUGGAAAGAGAUUGAUCAUGCAGUUGUUAGAUGCUUUUGAUUGGUGUCGAUGGUAGUGGUGCACGCCUUCGAUAAUCUGCUAGAGCCCACAGUGGGUAUAUAUUUCUGUAUGCUGCAUAAUGUAACAUGCAAUUCUUCAAGAAAACUCCUGUGAUUUCUUGCCAAUGAAUUGACAAUAAGAAAGUUGCAAUAAGCUGGAAAAGUUACAUUACAGGAUAUUAUUAUUACAUUUUCAUGAUGUUGCUUUAUUAUUUCAUAUGAAAAAAAGAUUAGGAAGACUACAAGAUGCUUAGUUUACCUGUUGGGGAAAAUCUCCAUUUUCCAACUGAGAAUUGAUCAAAAGCUUUGCUCCCCUGUGGAGAGGUUGGGUUACCUUAUUUGAGCAGGAAAGAUAGCUUUCUCCCCAUCCACCUUCUUCUCUUUGUGCAUUUAGCCGAAACUUGACAGCUUUUCGAAUGGCUGGACAAUCGUUGUAGCUCUUCCCGGCUGCUGCUAGUCCUCCAAGGGCAAACCAAGUGCCAUAUGUGAAACACACGCCCCAAUUUCCAUACCUGCAGAAAUUUAUAUCAAUGCUUUAUAGACUUGCAAAAAGUGUGCAAUGUUUGUACAUAAAAGGUCAAAAAUGGGAAGAAAAGUAUACCAUGAUCCAUCAGGCUUCUGAACAUCUUCGAGGUAAUUUACAGCCUUCACAAUAAAGCUUUCUAUUUCUUUC